GAGUGGGUGAGAGUCCCGUACUCGAAAGAUUUUGGACUUCCGUUCGGUACCCGAGUAAGUCCGGGCACGUGAAACCUGGACCGAAUCUGGGAGGCCCAUCUCCCAAGGCUAAGUACUCUCUAGCGACCGAUAGUGAAUAAGUAGCGCGAGCGAAAGAUGAAAAGAACCCCGCAAGGGGAGGGAAAGACCCUGAAACCGUGUGCCUACAAGCAGUCGGAGCCCGCAAGGGUGACGGCGUGCCUAUUGAAUAAUGAUCCGGCGAGUUAUUGUCGUUGGCUUGGCUAAGGUCUUCCGGACCGGAGCCCGAGGGAAACCGAGUCUGAACAGGGCGAAAUUGGUCAACGGGAAUAGACGCGAAACCUGGUGAACUACCCAUGGGCAGGUUGAAGCGCGGGUAAAACUGCGUGGAGGA
rnacentral:rRNA from 1 species